rnacentral:misc_RNA from 1 species
UUAAGUUCAGCGGGUAUUCCUACCUGAUCCGAGGUCAACCUUGAUAAACAUUGUGGUGUUUAGCGGCUAGAGAACCCGCCAGAGCCAUCCAAAGCGAGAUGAUAUUACUGCGCUCGGAGUCUCAGCGAGCCCGCCGAUGUCUUUAGGGGCCUGCCGGCCGAAGCAGGCAGUAAUCCCCAACACCAAGCGCUAAGGCUUGA